GGGGUGUUAGCUCAGUUGGUAGAGCAGCGGACUUUUAAUCCGUUGGUCGCGAGUUCGAAUCUCGCACACCCUA
rnacentral:tRNA from 1 species